rnacentral:tRNA from 1 species
GCCGGGCUGGCUCAGUUGGUAGAGCAUGAGACUCUUGAUCUUGGGGUCAUGAGUUUGAGCCCCAUGUUGGGCG